UACGUAGGGUGCGAGCGUUGUCCGGAAUUAUUGGGCGUGAAGAGCUUGUAGGCGGUCUGUCGCGUCUGCUGUGAAAAUCCGGGGCUCAACCCCGGACUUGCAGUGGGUACGGGCAGACUAGAGUGUGGUAGGGGAGACUGGAAUUCCUGGUGUAGCGGUGAAAUGCGCAGAUAUCAGGAGGAACACCGAUGGCGAAGGCAGGUCUCUGGGCCACUACUGACGCUGAGAAGCGAAAGCAUGGGGAGCGAACAGG
rnacentral:rRNA from 1 species